CCCUCAACUUUUUUUUUAAAACCAUAAUUUGGGUAUAAAGCCCAUUUAUAACUAAAAAAUAUUCUUUCAUAAGGAAAGGGCCAGGUCCAAAAAUGACCCGGCCCAAAGAAAAUUAAACAAAUUACAUUCAGACAAAAUUAAAAAUGGAAAGCCAAUUUAGGAAACUAUAAAAGCCGAUAAGCUUCUUGACCAACAAUUCCUUAGCUUCCAACUUUGUUAAUCUUCAAGUUCUUGACUAAGCUGAACUUUAGGCCAUAAAAUUAUGUGAAAUCAGCUAUCCGCUACUGAAAUCAACGUCAUUUGAUGAAGAUUUUUGUUCAUCCAUCCUCUACAUAAAUCAGAUAAGUGUCUCUCCUUUCAAUCUCAUAUAAACACUUUCAUUUCCCUCUUUCUCCUUCUGGGUGGAUUGAACCUAUAACCCUCCCUCAACUUUAAUCUAUUUUUAACAUUAAAUAUUUAUCUUAGCUUUAUUUUAUUUUUAAUAGAUUUUAUUUGAUAAAACUAAAAAUAACAAAAAUAGUUAUGUUUUUAGAUACACCACUUUUAAAAAAAUUAAGGAAAAGAGAAAAUUUUACAAAAAAAGGGUCAAACCCAAUAGGAUAUUGCCACACAUUAUGUUCUAUUCCAAUCUGUAUUCGUGGCAUAUUCCAUUGAAGAGGAGAAUAUUUCAUGCUUCCUACCUAAAUGUUAUUUAUCCUUAUCUAAAAUUAAAGGGCAUUUUAGAAAAAGACUAGCUAAAAAUAAACACCAAAGACUAUACCUAGUAGGCUCUAUAAAUAGAAACCGAUAAGAAACCAAUAGAAGGGAGGAUCCAAUAAUUAAGAAAUCAGCCACAAAAAGCGUGAAGAAGCAGCCGUGAGACCCCUUUUACUUCUUCCAAAAGCCUUAGAGCUAAGAAAGAAAGAAUAAUAGGAAAAAGCUCCAAAAAAACAACUCACACAAAGACACCACGAACCACCUGAAAAAAAUCAUAAAACUCAUCAUUUAAACUCUCUGAAUAUUAUAUGAUGAGUUUCAUGGUGUUUUUUAGGUGGUUUGUGACAUUUUUUGUAUGAGUUGAUUUUUGGAGUUUUUUCCUAUUAUUCUUCCUUUCUUAGCUCCAAGGCUUUUGAAAGAAGAAAAAGGGGUCUCACGGUUGCUUCUUUAUAAUUAUUGUGAUUGAUUCUUAAUGAUUAGAUCCCUCCCUUUCCUUGAUUUCUUAUAGGUUUCUAUUUAUAAACUCUACUAGGUCUAGAGUUUGGUAUUUAUUUUUAGCUAGUCCUUUCCUAAAUGCCUUGAAUUUUAGGACAAAAUUAAAAAAAUUUAGGGAGGAAGAAUGGAAUAUUCUCCCCUCCAAUGGAAUAUGCUAUGAACAGAGAUUGAGAGAGAAUGUAAUGUGUGGCAACAUCCUAUUGGGUUUAACCAUUUUUUGUAAAAUUUCUUUCUUCCUAGAAAAUAAAAAAACCAAAGUAAUGUAUUUAAAAACAUGACUAUUUUUGUGGUUUUAAAUUUUAUCAAAUAAAAUCUACUAAAAAUAAAAUAAAAACUAAAACAAGUAUUUAAUGUUAAAAAUAGGUUAAAACUUGGAGAGAAUUAAAAAUCAUAUAUGUACACAUAUUUGACACCGGAUACAUCUAUCUUUGAUACCAGAUAUAUGCACCUGACUGCAUUGUAUAAAAUUGAUAUUAGAUACAUCAAACUAAUGUUGGAUGCACUAGAAGAAAUUGAUAUUAGAUACUCUAGACGGAGUUGGUACUGGAUACACUAGAUGAAAUCAAUAAUAGAAACAAACACACCAGAUACAUUAAGAAAACACACUAACAAAAAACAUCAUGAAUCACAUAUACAGUAAAUGGAUUUUUGAUGAAUUGAAUAAUAAAGUGACUCUGAAAUUGAUAGAAUAGAAUUUAUUUUGUCUUGGUCUUUUUUUAGCUCAAAGACAUGUUAUUUCCUCAGAGUUAUUACACCCUUCAUUUUUGUCUAAUUUAAAGAGAUUUAAAUACAAAAAAUAUUUUAUUUUUACAAGAAAAUAAAAUCGGACGCACGUGUACCUCAAAUACAUGUAUCCAACGUGUGUGUCUUGAAUGAAUCUCAGACAAGUUUUGUAACUUUUAAAACUCCUAUUUCAACUAGCACUUAUGUAGUAUAAUAUUGUGUUUUAUGUAGUUUUCUCCCUUUUUACCAGAAUUCAAUGAGGAAAUUACACCUAAUGUAUCCUAAAUGUCUGUCUUUAAACUUUUGUCCUCACUUAAUAAAUAAUUUUAAAAUGACUUUUACUUUAAAAAAAUAGCUGGAAAGAAGUUGUGCUAUCCAUCACACACAAGUUCUAACUUUUGCCUAUAAGAUAGAAUUUGUGGUCAAUAGAACAUGUUCACUAUCUUGAAUAUUCUGAACUUUUGCUUUAUGGGCACUCGUUAGAACUUAUGCCUAAUAUGGACGACAUACCUAAGUUUUAAGUUUUGCCUAAAAGAGAAUACUUCUGGUCAAUUAAGCAGGUGUACAAUUUUAAAAUGUCAUGAACGUCUGUCAUAGAGGCUAAAGUUAGAAUUUAUGUCUGAUGGACAACAUAUCUAAGUUCUAACUUCUGUCUAUAAGGUAAAACUUCUGAUCAAUUAAGAAAGAAGAAACUUACAGAUAUUCAAAGAGAAUAAUCGUGGAGCAUUUUGAAGAAGGACGUCAAAAGCUUCAACGGUGAAGAGUAACUUUUGGGUUUUUUAUUUAGGAUAAAGAGACUGACCAACCAAAGACUGAAAACAUCUAAAUCUACAAAAAAUAUAGAAGCUAAGGAAAAUUCUCGACCAUAAAGGUCGAAGUUGAACCACAACUUUGUAUAUCUAUGGAAACCAUAUCAAGAUAAAAAUAGAAAAAAUAAUCUUAAAAGAGGAAGAAGACACUUAC
rnacentral:lncRNA from 1 species